UUUACGUGCUGCAAGCAAUCUGCAUUUAUAAUUUGAACUGUUUCAUUUGUUAGAGCACAAUGUAAUGAUAUCAGGUCACUUGCAGCGAGUAAGUCAUUAAGGGUAUCCAUUCUCCUGGCAGCAGGUGGGAAUCUAAUAGAGUGUCUGCUCAUUUUUCCAUUUUCCUCAACAUCAAAAUAAAGCACGCUCAUGUUGAAUGCUAAACUCCGUUCAGCCUCUGUGCCGUGGAAUGCGCCGCUGUCGCGGCCUUGUACUGGGAAUUGUUGGUAGAUCUGCGUCUGCAAG
rnacentral:misc_RNA from 1 species